rnacentral:tRNA from 1 species
CGGGGUGUAGCGCAGUCUGGUAGCGCAUCUGCUUUGGGAGCAGGAAGUCGGCGGUUCGAAUCCGUCCACCCCGAUC